rnacentral:sRNA from 1 species
GCCAGGUGCAGUGGUGCACGCCUGUAAUCCCAGCAGCUUGGAAGGCUGAGGCAGGAGAAUUGUGAGUUCAAAGCCAGCCUCAGUAAUUUAGCAAGGACCUGAGCAACUCAGUGAGACCCUGUCUCAA